rnacentral:lncRNA from 1 species
GUGGGACUAAUGAUUUUUUCUUUUACACUAUAACAUAGCUCCCCGGUGAUCCCCUUCCUCGUGUCUAUGUACUCCCACAUAGUUGUAUUUAGGUGAAAGAAAUUCCACAGUUCAUUGAGGGUGAUCUCCGAUAUUUAGGUGAAAGGAGCCCCAUAGUCCAUUGAAGGUGAUCCUCUUCUUCUAGUACUAAUAUUGCAGUCAAGGACUCAUGGCUCGACACGUGAAGUAUUGUCUGUUUUGAUCUACGACGUAUAGCCCGGAGGCUAUAUGGGCCGUUUUUGGGUCUCACAGUUUUGUCCCUUAAAAGAAGCCUCACAUGGAAAGGAUGAUUUUCUUCCUAUAUAAGUUAGAUUUCCUCUUGACUCCAAUC